ensembl:lncRNA
UGGCUGAAGCAAAAAGCCAAAGCAGGACUGACCAGCAGGGCUGUAUCGAUUUUUUCCAGCUGGUCCUAUUUCUUUUGGAGUCCAGUCUCAAAAAGGCAUCAACCAGACCAGCUCAGAAGGUUAUGACAAGGAGUACGUCAAAGGCUAGGUCUAUGUUUAAUUCUGCAAGAAACUACUAAACUCUUCUCCAAGUUGGUCGCACUGUGUUCCACUCCCACCAGCAUAACUGCUAGAAAAUAAGAAAGAGGGUCCUCAGUGGACCUGAAACGCGGAGGCGUUCCUGAAAGACAAGAGCAGACUGAAGCAGAUCGGCAG